CCUACCACUGACAUUCUCAGCCGCUAGUGGCUGUGGGUCCACCUCUUUGCAGCUCUAGGUCACAGCAAACACAUAGACUGGUGGAGUCCUUCGGCCAAUAUGGAGACAAGGAACUCAGCUUGCAAGGCUGGCCUGCUUGCUCAGGCUGGCUGAAGCUCAGUUACCUCUCUUAUAAAGAUUGGGACUGCAGCAAGGAAAGCAACGCCAAGUCCAUCAGGGUGACGAUCCAGUGUACAGAGGCCCCCACAUGGUAUAAGAGCAGCUUCCAAUGAAGGCAUCCAAGAGAUUCAGCAGUACUGACAACAUCUUGCGGGAUUCAUCAUUUGACCUAGAAUAGGUCAGAAGAGAGAUCAGAGUUUGAGCCCACUUUCCAGCUCUACAAAAUCCAUGGCUGGCACUGAGUCCAGGGGAAAGUUCAAAAACUUGACCAGCAUCUCCCUAAAAAAGGUGAGGUCAUGGCUCCAGCUGGCUCCCAGAGGGGGCCGAGUUAUCAUCCAGUUCUCCGGAGCCUGCCAGCUCCCAGGGGCUCAGAGAUCAAGGUACACUAAGCAGUUGCUGAGCCAGAAAGAGUGACUGCAGAAGGCACAUCUCCUUCACGGAAGCCCCAGGGCAGAAGUCCUCUGUCUAAGCUGGUCAUGAAUCCAGGAGCAGGCAUGUACUUCCUUUAAUUAAAAAGGUAAAAAUCUUACUCUGACCUGAAUACCUUAAUAUAUUUCAAAGAGGACCCUGCUGCUUUCCUUGUGUACCUGCUGAUUCAGCCUCCAGGUUUACACAUAGAUCAGAUGGGUCAGAUUUUGGAAACAGAAGUGUGGUUCAUGCAGAAACCAGGUCAACAAUUAGCAGCUGCAGCCAUUCAUUAAGAGCUUCACCAAGCCUGUGUUCAGCUGUAUAAUGAGAUUGAGUAAAACCUGGACUUAAUCAGACUCACUCUACCCUGCUACAGGGAGCGAAUUCACAGCCCUGAGUACACCCCCCACCUCCUCCCCAUGACCAUUUAUUCAUUCUGUUGCUGCCCUCAUACUGGAGCCUGAGCAAUGGAAUCAGGAGCUAGGUCCUGAGCAAGCUCCCCCUUCCAAAGCACUACUUUGAAUUGCUUGAUUAGCAAGAGGCCAAAAGAAAUCAGAGAGGAUGCGUUCUUUUUGCAAAGGGUGAAGGAACCAUGCUUGCACUGGCUCUAGCUGCUGAGGGCAGCACAAGGAGAACAUGAGUCAGGGACGAUGAGUCCUGCCCAGCGGCAGCCACGCAUUCCUGCAAGGCAUGUGCAGAGGUGACAGGCAAGCAAUGCACAUGCUCACAAUGGCCAAGGCAUUGGCCAGAAAGCCACAGCUGACGCACAACCCGAUGACCAGGAGGAAGUCAGAAGACUCUUUCUGCUUAGAUCACAGGCAUCCUGCACACUCCCUCCUCUUACGCAGGUCCAUGAGGACAGAGAGGUUCUCCCAGGUAGAGAGCGCCCCCGUGUAGAAUUAAGAAAAGGAAGAGACUAGAUACAGAUACACAAUAUAUUGUGCUGAUAAUACAUAUGUGUGUAUACACAAUUAAGAAAAAUAGGAUUAUAUGAAUACAUAUACACCGUAUUAAGUUUUAUAUAUGGUAUAUAAAAUGCAGAAAAUUGAGGACUAUCUAUCUACUCCCAAAGAAGCUGAUACCCACACAAUGACAUUCUGCAAUGAAGCAAGAGCCUUGGCCUUCUGAUUUCCUUUGUCCCUCCACACCUCAGAACCACAAUUGAAUUAUGUUCUUAAUCCACAUCAGCACUUCCAAACAGAAUUUCAGGGAGGUGCAGGGGUAUUGGAGUUCACUAUGCUGAUGAGACCCUAAAAGCCUGGACUGAUUUCUGAGAAUAAGCCCUGAGCAGCUGAAGGAAGAUGAGAGGAUUCAGCAAAUGAGGAAGAUAAUAGUAACUGGCCAUCAACGGCAGUUCCAAUGGAAAGAGACCUCAUCGGAAAGUCCGAUGAGAAGCGCAGCCUGACAGAGACAGCGUCCGCCAAAGAGAUCUAAUUAGGGUGCAAAGAGACUCUGCAAAACACCCAAAAUAGAGUAAGAAUUUUCAUUGAAAAACUAAUAUUUGAACUUAGUGAUUUAAAGAAUUUAUAAAAGUGAGUGGUCACAAUCUAGAACCAACUAGACUAUGGGAGGCCUGGGGGAAAUACAUUGUCACACAGAGGACGGGACAAAGGGGAAAAGCAUGAGGGCAGAUCCAGAAACCUUCAUGUGGAGAAGAGAUGGUCUAGAAGGGAAAACAGGAACAGCGAGGGGAGUUAAUGAUUAAAUAAGUAGAAGAGAAAAACACGUCCUGUCUGAAGAAAGACUUGAGUCAGCAGAUGGAAAGGCCUCCCUGAGCUGCACAGCAUGCGUGGAAAAGGGACACAGCUCUAGUGAAAUCCCCAUAUGCCAGGAAUUAAAGGUGGGGAACGCACAUUGUCUCUCAAGGUAUCGUCCAUGAACUUGCUGCGCCAGAACAAGAAACUUGUUAAAAAUUAGAUUCCAGACCUUCUGCAUCUCAUCCUGGGGGUGUUUGGGGAAGUACAUACUACAAUUCAUGGGGAGGAGCCGCAGGUGGAGGGCAUUGAAGUUGCAGGAAGGGUCCUCAUCGAAUGACAGGAAGGCUGUCCUAUCCAGCAGUCCGGAUGCUCUUCCUCAGUGAAGUGUGGCAAAUUCUCACCCAAGUGUACAAACUUGCACACAAAGACAAUGUCCCAAGUGGUGCUGGCCUUUUUGGGGACACCAGCUGGAAAUGACAUCAGCAACUUCGUAGCUUUUAAAAAACUACUCACAAGAGGUUAUAACUUGACUUUGAUCUUCGUAAAGUGAAAGGAAACAUACAGAACUGAAUUAU